rnacentral:rRNA from 1 species
ACGCUGGCGGCAGGCCUAACACAUGCAAGUCGAGCGGAUGAAGGGAGCUUGCUCCCUGAUUCAGCGGCGGACGGGUGAGUAAUGCCUAGGAAUCUGCCUGGUAGUGGGGGACAACGUCUCGAAAGGGACGCUAAUACCGCAUACGUCCUACGGGAGAAAGUGGGGGAUCUUCGGACCUCACGCUAUCAGAUGAGCCUAGGUCGGAUUAGCUAGUUGGUGAGGUAAUGGCUCACCAAGGCGACGAUCCGUAACUGGUCUGAGAGGAUGAUCAGUCACACUGGAACUGAGACACGGUCCAGACUCCUACGGGAGGCAGCAGUGGGGAAUAUUGGACAAUGGGCGAAAGCCUGAUCCAGCCAUGCCGCGUGUGUGAAGAAGGUCUUCGGAUUGUAAAGCACUUUAAGUUGGGAGGAAGGGCAUUAACCUAAUACGUUAGUGUUUUGACGUUACCGACAGAAUAAGCACCGGCUAACUCUGUGCCAGCAGCCGCGGUAAUACAGAGGGUGCAAGCGUUAAUCGGAAUUACUGGGCGUAAAGCGCGCGUAGGUGGUUUGUUAAGUUGAAUGUGAAAUCCCCGGGCUCAACCUGGGAACUGCAUCCAAAACUGGCAAGCUAGAGUAGGGCAGAGGGUGGUGGAAUUUCCUGUGUAGCGGUGAAAUGCGUAGAUAUAGGAAGGAACACCAGUGGCGAAGGCGACCACCUGGGCUCAUACUGACACUGAGGUGCGAAAGCGUGGGGAGCAAAC